rnacentral:rRNA from 1 species
GAUGAACGCUGGCGGCGUGCCUAAUACAUGCAAGUCGAGCGAACGGACGAGAAGCUUGCUUCUCUGAUGUUAGCGGCGGACGGGUGAGUAACACGUGGAUAACCUACCUAUAAGACUGGGAUAACUUCGGGAAACCGGAGCUAAUACCGGAUAAUAUUUUGAACCGCAUGGUUCAAAAGUGAAAGACGGUCUUGCUGUCACUUAUAGAUGGAUCCGCGCUGCAUUAGCUAGUUGGUAAGGUAACGGCUUACCAAGGCAACGAUGCAUAGCCGACCUGAGAGGGUGAUCGGCCACACUGGAACUGAGACACGGUCCAGACUCCUACGGGAGGCAGGAGUAGGGAAUCUUCCGCAAUGGGCGAAGGCCUGACGGAGCAACGCCGCGUGAGUGAUGAAGGCCUUCGGAUCGUAAAACUCUGUUAUUAGGGAAGAACAUAUGUGUAAGUAACUGUGCACAUCUUGACGGUACCUAAUCAGAAAGCCACGGCUAACUACGUG